UAAUAAGUGUUUUAUGGCACUUUUUAAAUCCAUAUCCACCUUGUGUGCAAUGUCAGUCGAUCUUCUUCAUGGAGAUCGACCAAGCAUCAACCUUUAUCUUUUAACUCUUUGUCUGAAAAAUAUUAUGAAUAAACAAUUCAAAUA
rnacentral:misc_RNA from 1 species